UCAUGACUUAUCAUUCUCUUUCCUUCCUGAACAAUUCAGUGCUAAAACCAUUAGGUAGGGCAGAGCGAAGACAGUAUGGGCACCAAGGUGAAGGAAACCACAGUGGCACAGAGUGCAGUGCCUGCAUCAGGACAGGGUGAGGAGGCAGUCCUGCAGAGGGGCAGCUCAGCAUGGUGUGUUCAAGUCCUACAGAGCAUUGGAGCCCAAAGGAGAAAAGUAACUUUACAAUGGGAAUGUCUGGCAGACAUCACCUGACUCAAAUGUCAAAGUGAAGAAACAUCAUCAAUGAUGUUUCCAUCAAAUGGAUAUCCUGUGCCACCUGACAAGAGGCAUUUAGGACUUCUGUGAUAUUCCCUCUAAAGAUGCAUCACCUGAAUCUGACUGUGACGAAACAUCAGAAAAACUCAAACUGAGGAACACUCUGCAAGUUCCCCCAAAACCCUGGCAAUGGCAACUAAAAAGAUGGCUUUUGUGAGAAGAGCGAUUGGUGUCCACACCUGCUGGUGCUGAGCACAAGACAAUGCGCAUGUGUUCUGUUGAAGGAAGAAACUUUAGAAACGUCAUCUUCAAGGUGUCAAUCACUUGUCUACUAUAGCUGCUGCCUCAGCGUCCACUUUUAGACACAGCAUUAGCUGUGUGAAACCCAGUUGCACCCUGCCACCUUUGGUCUAGGUGUGACUUCUCUUCCUUAGAGGGGCACGAUAGAGCCCGUGUGUUUCUUUUCUUUUUUUUCUUUUUGUUUUUGAGAUGGAGUCUCACUCUGUCAUCCAGGCUGGAGUGCAGUGGCACCAUCUUGACUCACUGCAACCUCCGCCUCCCGGUUCAAGCAAUUCUCCUGCCUCAGCCUCCCAAGUAGCUGGGACUACAGGCAUGCACCACCAUGCCUAGCUAAUUUUUGUAUUUUUAGCAGAGAUGGGGUUUUACCAUGUUGGCCAGGCUGGUCUCAAACUCCUGACCUCAAGUGAUCCACUCACCUCAGCCUCCCAAAGUGCUGGGAUUACAGGCAUGAGCCACCAUGCCUGGAGGAGCCCAUGUGUUUCUCAUCUCACCAACCCAAAGCCAACUCACUCCACAGCUGCUGACCAUGAGGAAACCUAAGGUCAACACCGGAGUCAGGUAAAUGAGCCACCCCCCCACCCCCACCCUGGUACACACUUGUUUUAUUUAAACUGGCCAAUCCACAACUCCCAGAGGAAAGCCCGUGGGCCUUCAUAGAGGCCUGGUCUCAAGCCCUCACUUUCCUUUCCCACCUGCCGGUCGAGCGCCCUGCUGUCUCUGGACUUCCCAUCGGCUCUCAGGGACGUGUAAGUAAUAAAAUGCUUCUCUCAUUUCAUAUAUUUUGUUUUGUGGCCCCCUCUGUGUCUCACCUGACCAACAUAACCGAAUCGAAUUCUCCCGCUCAGGGCUCUCCCAAAGAGUGACUAUCCUGGUAGGAAUAAACUGGACCCGGGCCAGAAAAGA